CCUACGGGGUGCUGCAGUGGGGAAUAUUGGACAAUGGGCGAAAGCCUGAUCCAGCCAUGCCGCGUGUGUGAAGAAGGCCUUCGGGUUGUAAAGCACUUUCAGUGGGGAAGAAAGCCUUGGGGCUAAUACCCUCGAGGAAGGACAUCACCCACAGAAGAAGCACCGGCUAACUCCGUGCCAGCAGCCGCGGUAAUACGGAGGGUGCGAGCGUUAAUCGGAAUUACUGGGCGUAAAGCGCGCGUAGGCGGUCUGAUAAGCCGGUUGUGAAAGCCCCGGGCUCAACCUGGGAACGGCAUCCGGAACUGUCAGGCUAGAGUGCAGGAGAGGAAGGUAGAAUUACCGGUGUAGCGGUGAAAUGCGUAGAGAUCGGGAGGAAUACCAGUGGCGAAGGCGGCCUUCUGGACUGACACUGACGCUGAGGUGCGAAAGCGUGGGUAGCAAACAGGAUUAGAUACCCUGGUAGUC
rnacentral:rRNA from 1 species